rnacentral:rRNA from 1 species
UCAGACUCGCGGCACCGAGCUCAGUAACACGUGGCCAAACUACCCUACAGAGACGGAUACCCUCGGGAAACUGAGGUUAACCCGUCAUACCGAUCUCAGGCUUGAAUCGCAGAGAUCACAAAAUGCCCCGGCGCUGUAGGAUGUGGCUGCGGUUGAUUAGGUAGACGGUGGGGUAACGGCCCACCGUGCCGAUAAUCGGUCUGGGUCAUGAGAGUGAGAACCCAGAGACGGAAUCUGAGACAAGAUUCCGGGCCCUACGGGGCGCAGCAGGCGCGAAACCUUUACACUGCACGCCAGUGCGAUAAGGGGACCCCAAGUGCGCAGGCAUAGUGCCUGCGCUUUUCUGGACUGUAGGGCGGUCCAGGAACAAGGGCUGGGCAAGACCGGUGCCAGCCGCCGCGGUAAUACCGGCAGCCCAAGUGAUGGCCGCUGUUAUUGGGCCUAAAGCGUCCGUAGCUGGCUGCACAAGUCCGUCGGGAAAUCCGCCCGCUCAACGGGCGGCCGUCCGGCGGAACCUGUGUGGCUUGGGACCGGGAGGCCUGAGGGGUACGAUCGGGGUAGGAGUGAAAUCCUGUAAUCCCGCUCGGACCGCCGAUGGGGAAACCACCUCAGGAGAACGGAUCCGACAGUGAGGGACGAAAGCCAGGGUCUCGAACCGGAUUAGAUACCCGGGUAGUCCUGGCCGUAAACGAUGCUUGUUAGGUGUGACUCCCACUACGAGUGGGUGUUGUGCCGUAGGGAAGCCG